rnacentral:lncRNA from 1 species
AAGACUACGGUCACAUUGAAAGAACGCAAUAUAUCACAAAAUUUUCAAAUCAUAAAAACUUAAGCAAAAGGGAUAAAUAGUCAUAAAAAAUUAAGCAAAACGCUAAACAGGUAUAGCGGAUACAGCACAAUGCCAAUUGCAGCUCGAGUACAAGGCCGCAUGUGCCAAACAGACAGCCUUCCACAUGCCUGGCGGCGGAACAGGUAGUGGAUAGUUUGCAAAUCAUGUUGUAAAUUUAAUCAUAGCUUUGUACUUUUAGAACUCUUAUCUUGUGCUGCAAGCCAAGGUCUACUCCGCCGUGGGAAAGUUUAAUUGGGACGUGGAUGUGGGAAAGGCGCACUUUGUCAACGUCUGCACAACAAUCCGACCGUGUCCAGUGAGAAGGCACCCCGGUAAUGUUUGGAAAUCCGAUGAUAGUUUAGAUGAUAGUUCAAACAGACACCUUGAACAUCGGCAAAGGUCUCUGAGCAAGUUUUGAGCAUAGGUUCAAGAUCCUCAACGAUUUCGCCGACGAACGGGUCUGCAAACAUAACUUGAUAGUGCAGCGUGGCUACGAUUGCUUUGACUUCAUCAAUCAACGGAACCAUUUUAUACCGAUACGACGCUGCUUACUGAUAGACGGCUCGUACAAGAAGCACUCUGUAGCCUGCUACUCUCCUUUUACAUAGUCCUGUUUUCUGUAUGUCAGGAAAUUGAAAUCAUCUUUGACAUCAGGAGGAGAGAGAAUCUUUCGCGUUUCUUGCAGCUCUCCGAUGCACAGAUGGCCGAUGUACUGAGAGAUACAACUAUAUGGUGGUCCAGCUUCCCGCAUAACAUCGGGGAAGGCUGACGGGUCCGAGCAAACAGGACAAUACUCAGUACUGCUGGAGGGACUCUUACUUAGUGGCCGACACCCAAUCUCAGGGUGCAGGCUAAGAUUAACAUAACAUGCACAUGUAGGCAUAAAUACUAAUUUUGAAAAAAAAAAAUGUAAUGACCAGCUUUUUAUAAACCAAAAUGUGUAGCAUACUUUUAGGAUGAUCGACAUUAUUCAGGCGAAAUGUAUGAAGUACUUUUGGGGACUGCUUUGAUACCAAAAAGUAUAGUAUACUUUCUGGGUGAACGGAUUUCAAUUACAAAAAUGCCCACAACAGC